UCCGUAGGUGAACCUGCGGAAGGAUCAUUAAUGAAUUCGUGUUUUCAGGGUCUUUGAGCUCUGAAACACAACCCCCACUUUAUUACUCUGUGCACUUUUUAAAACGGUUUGGGUCUUUUUAGAGUCUUGCGUUUUAUCAUUUUAUAAACUUCAAGUAAUGUAUGUUUUUUGUUAAAUCUUAACAUAAAAAAACUUUCAACAACGGAUCUCUUGGGUCUCGCAUCGAUGAAGAACGCAGCGAAAUGCGAUACGUAAUGUGAAUUGCAGAAUUUGUGAAUCAUCGAAUCUUUGAACGCACCUUGCGCUCUCUGGUAUUCCGGGGAGCAUGUCUGUUUGAGUGUCAUGAAUUAUUCAAUGCAACUGUUUUUGUUAUGCAAAAGCGGGUUGGAUUGGUUUCUGAGUAUGUGCUGACUUGCCUGUCGAGUCAGCUUACUCGAAAUGGAGUAGUGUUCGAGUGUGAUAUUCGGAUUGACUCAGUGUAAUAGACUAUUCGCUGAGGACACCUCGUGUGGGCGAUAUUGUACAACGUGGGGCUUCCAACUCGUCAAUUAAUUUAUUAUUUUUUUGGGCUCAAAUCAGAUAGGAUUACCCGCUGAACUUAAGCAUAUCAAUAAGCGGAGGA
rnacentral:rRNA from 1 species